rnacentral:snoRNA from 1 species
UCGGUGAUGAAUGAACUCCCCGCCUGAGGGGUGAAGAGGUUUCUGGUCGCUGACCU